rnacentral:rRNA from 1 species
UAAUACGAACUGUGCGAACGUUAUUCGGAAUCACUGGGCUUACAGGGUGCGUAGGCGGCCUUUCAAGUCAGGUGUGAAAGCCCCCGGCUCAACCGGGGAACUGCGCUUGAAACUGAAGGGCUCGAGUCAGCUAGAGGUGCACGGAACUUCCAGUGGAGCGGUGAAAUGUGUUGAUAUUGGAAGGAACACCGGAGGCGAAAGCGGUGCACUGGGGCUGGUCUGACGCUGAGGCACGAAAGCCAGGGGAGCGAACGGGAUUAGAUACCCCGGUAGUCCUGGCCGUAAACGAUGAGUGCUGGACGGAAGGGGGUUCGCCCUUUUCGGUCGGAGCGAAAGCGGGAAGCACUCCGCCUGGGGAGUAUGGUCGCAAGGCUG